rnacentral:rRNA from 1 species
ACGGAAGGCAGCAGUGGGGAAUAUUGCACAAUGGGGGAAACCCUGAUGCAGCAACGCCGCGUGAAGGAAGACGGUCUUCGGAUUGUAAACUUUUGUUCUUAGUGAAGAUGAUGACGGUAGCUAAGGAGAAAGCCACGGCUAACUACGUGCCAGCAGCCGCGGUAAUACGUAGGUGGCAAGCGUUGUCCGGAAUUACUGGGUGUAAAGGGAGCGCAGGCGGGAAAUCAAGUUGGAUGUGAAAUGUCGGGGCUUAACCCCGGAACUGCAUCCAAAACUGAUUUUCUUGAGUGAAGUAGAGGUAGGCGGAAUUCCGAGUGUAGCGGUGAAAUGCGUAGAUAUUCGGAGGAACACCAGUGGCGAAGGCGGCCUACUGGGCUUUAACUGACGCUGAGGCUCGAAAGUGUGGGGAGCAAACAGGAUUAGAUACCCUGGUA